rnacentral:snRNA from 1 species
AUCCAAGUGCAGGGGUUUUACGCGUAUCAGUGAGGAUUCGUCCGAGAUCGCGUUUUUGCUAGUUGAAAACUACAUACCUGACCGCUCUUGUUGGGACUCGUUCCUGGCAGGGAAUUUUUGGAAUUACCAACU